rnacentral:rRNA from 1 species
GAUGAACGCUGGCGGCGUGCUUAAUACAUGCAAGUCGAACGAGGAGCUUUUGUCUUCGGAUGAGGGUUUCCUAGUGGCGAACGGGUGAGUAACGCGUUGGUGACCUGCCCCAAAGAAGGGGAUAACAGUCCGAAAGAAUUGCUAAUACCCUAUGUGAUCAGUUGGAUUAGAUGCCUUCUGAUUAAAGGAGUAAUCCGCUUUGGGAGGGACCUGCGUCCCAUCAGCUAGUUGGUAGGGUAAUGGCCUACCAAGGCAAUGACGGGUAGGGGACCUGAGAGGGUGACCCCCCACAAUGGCACUGAAACACGGGCCAUACACCUACGGGUGGCAGCAGUAGGGAAUAUUGGACAAUGGGCGAAAGCCUGAUCCAGCAACGCCGCGUGCACGAUGACGGCCUUCGGGUUGUAAAGUGCUUUUAGAGGAGAUGAGAAAGGACAGUUCCU